rnacentral:rRNA from 1 species
GACGAACGCUGGCGGCGUGCUUAACACAUGCAAGUCGCGGGGGGUGAGCGAUCACUCACCGGCGAACGGGUGCGUAACACGUGAGCGACCUGCCCACUUGUGGGGUAUAGCCGGCCCAACGGCCGGGUAAUCCCGCAUACGCUUCUCCGGCUGCAUGGCCGGGGGAGGAAAGCCGUAAGGCGCAAGUGGAGGGGCUCGCGGCCUAUCAGCUAGUUGGCGGGGUAACGGCCCACCAAGGCUACGACGGGUAGCUGGUCUGAGAGGAUGGCCAGCCACAUUGGGACUGAGAUACGGCCCAGACUCCUACGGGAGGCAGCAGUGGGGAAUCUUGCGCAAUGGUCGAAAGACUGACGCAGCGACGCCGCGUGCGGGAGGAAGCCCUUCGGGU